CAUUUUGUUUGCUCUUUUAAGCAAACAUUACAAUAAUUGCAAAUUCUAUAAGCAAUUAAACAAAACUUACUGCACAUAGGAUGCAGAAUGAUGUUUUAUUUAGUGUGCAUAUGAUUUUCAGCUUAUGGACAAGAAAACAUAUACUUUAACAAUCACAGCAACACAAUGAGAUCCCAAUUUUAAAGAAAUAAUGCCACCUUUCAUUAAUUCAUUAAUUCAUUCUAUCAAUCAUUCAUAUAUAUAUUCAUUAAUUCAUUCAUUUAUUCAAUUUAUUCAUUGAAAAACUUGACAUUUCUCAAGGCAAAAUAAAUAAAAAGUGAGCAGCUUUCAUAAAGAAUAGAGCCUUUUCCCUUAAUGCAUUAAAAAACACAACCUUAAUACAGUAUAAAUGUUUUAAAAACCCUAAUUUAUUGCUUAUUUUAAUAGCCAGCCUGGUUGCUGUAGCCACAGAGGAAUUUUCAAGGACAAGAACCAGUGCUGGUAAAACUGUGGUCUCUGUGGUUUUCCAUACCGGCUCUCGGCAAGGAUUUUCAAGAAAGGAAUACCAUCUCCAAAUCAUGAUGUGCCAAUAAGCUCCAGUUAGCUGCGGCCUUUUCCCCAGGCGGUAGUCCUGCAAUCUGAAUCCAGGAGAUGCAGCUCUGAAUCCAAUAUUUCAGAAGAAUGAAGAUGAAGCAGACCCAGGAGGAACUGUCUGUUGAAG